UUCAGAUGAGAAAAACAAGGAGUUUAUUAUCAAAAACGAUGGUGUAAAUAUUGUGAAAAAGCACUGCCUCAGUGGUGCUAAUGAAGAAACAUUAAUAUCAGCCUUGACAUGUCUGAUGUUCCUCAUCACCCCAGCUUCCAAAAAAGCUAUUCUGACGGAGGAGUUCACAAAACGAAUCCUAGACUGGUCUGGAAACUCUAACGCACGCAUUAAAAACUUAGCUACCAUAUUCAUCGAGGAUUAUUUCAACAAAGAAGAUAAUAAGGUGAAAUACGGAGAUCAAGCUUCAGUCGCAGACCAUUGACAACGAUGACGAAAGCUAGAAGCUCAGAAAUUCUGGUGAGAUGGAGCAGCUGAAUAUAUCGACCGACCUACCCCAGUAGUUAACUGGUAUUUUGAUUUAUCGGCACGUCACCUCCAGAAGGAAGAAAGGUAGAGUGUUGACCCCGACUUGAUUUGAACUCAAGAAUGCACAGGAAUCUGUUGCAAAAUACUCCGGGUCAAGCACUGCUGCAUUCAAGUGCAAUUCGUUUGUGCAACAGCUCGAGCAAGUGCCUUCGUCUGUAGCCAGAGGCUGAGCAAAGUCUUAUGAACAGAUUUGAAAGGUGGAAACUAAAAGAAGAUUUUCAAGUAUAUCUAUAUAGGCGCAAGCAUUGCUGUAUGGCAAGAAGGUUGGUUCCAGGUUCAGUCCCACUGCGUGGCACCUUGGGCAAGUGUCUUCUUCUAUAGCCUCAGGCCGACCAAAGCU
rnacentral:lncRNA from 1 species